UGUACUAGAGUCAGUAAGAUAAACAGCUUGUUUUAUUAAAACUAGGUCUUUGCACGAGGCAAGCGGUGCGCUGCAGCCCCAGGCAGAAAGAGGGCAGCCGAUCCCUAGCAGAGCGCUGCAGGAGAAAGGGAGAUCAUUAAAGAGGAGGAGGCAGGGAGGAGCACCGUGAGGGCCUCGGAGUGCGCGAGGGGGUGUUUGGGUGAGUAUUGUUCCCGCGCCUGACUCGCCUCUCUCAAGAGACUCGGGGUUCCCACGGUCCGCACAGCAAACAAACGCACCUCAGCCUUUCUUCCCCUAGCUUCGCAGUGAUGUCAUUAAUUACCAUCAAAAUGCGCGCGACAGCGAGCGAGAGUGUGUGAGUCUGCUCGCGAGUGUAUGAGCGUGUGUGUGUGAGAGAGAAAGAGCGAGCGAAGCAGCCGCAAAGAAAGGGACCAUUGUCUGCGCUGAAAUAAAGAAAUCUCCACUGAACCAUUGUAAACGGAAGCAUGUUUUUGAGGAUGCCAAAAUAUGGCCUGUACCUGCAUCUUUCUGAAUGCAGCAAAUCUCUGGUGGGCAUUAGCUGUGCUCUUGCAGCAUUGUGCCCUGGAAUGUGUUUGAAAUGACCUGAACCACCAAUCUAGCACUCAUUACUUGUGGGUUGCCCAGCGGAAGAAUCCGCACGAAACACUGUCCUGCCUCAUUGUGCUGUGUGUGGACCCACAAUGAUUGUUUUUUAUGUGCAUCCACUGGAAGUGAUGGCGAGUCUGCACCAUCAAAGCACAAGCAGAUAAUUGUAGGCAUCUGAGUUCUCCAAGGACAUUCAGUGUUAAUUGGGAGCUUCAAAUGGGCAAAGCGGGCAAAGUGAGGAGAGUGUUUUGUUUGUGCCGUAUGAAGCGAGGGGUAAACUUCGUUCAGGCCGUGAGGUACGUCUCGGCCCCUGACUGGAUACCUUGUUCUCUUCUCCAGGGCAGGCCUUGGGAAAAAGCCCAUUUACCUCGCUUAUUCAAAGGCUUCCUGACAUCUCCAUAAUUUGAAACAAUGACCUCUGUUCAAAGUGAAGAAUUAAUUUUUUUCUCCUGAUUACUAAUUGUUUUUUUUUUUUUGUAUUCAGCUCAUUGUUGCUAUCCAACCGUGCAAAUCUUAUGUAUUUCUUGAUCUUUUGGGUCAACUCUUUCUGCUUAGCACUCAGGAAUUGUGGGAUAUUUUGUAUAGGUUGGAAAGGAUUGCUGACUGGCAUGGUGGGAUAUCCAUUAUUAUAAGCUUGACUGCCCCUGUUGCCACAAGAUGGUGCCACCGUGGCAUAAUGGUUGCCAGAGACAGGCACUGCUAUUUUGUCUGGCAAAAGUCCUGGUCUUUUACAUAUAGACCAUGUUCUUUGCUGCAGCUAUAUUACACAGCAUCUGAAAGUAUAAACUUUUUUUUUUUUUUUGUCAGAAAGAAUUUAUGACUUAUUAAUGUCAGAUUUCCUGUGAAAGACUUAAAUAUUAUCUCUGCACAAACAUACAUUUUGUAAUGAUGAGGAUAAUAAUGCUGUGAAUCUUUUAUGGGCAUUUAUGGAGUCUUUUAGUCCACACAAAUAAAUGUGACCCCUUUUUAUUUGCCUUGAUCUCUAGUUGAAGGGAGUGAUCUAUAAGAUAUGUUUGCAUCUGCAUAAUGCCUAUAGCCACGCUGUCUUCAAAACAUACCACUAAUUAUUAUUAUUUUAUUGUAGUUUUUUCUUGAUUAUUUAAAGGUUAGCUUAAAAAGUCAUGUAUGGAUUGAAUUACAUCAUCAAUGCACAUGUUAAAUGAAAGUGACAGUUCAAAAUGCCAUUUUAAAAUUGUAUUCCUUACAAAAAUAGUGUUAAAGGAAAUAAAAAUACAUUAUUUAAAGAAUUAGAAUUAAUUAUGAACAUACAUGUAACAAUAAUUGCAACCAUUGUUCUCUUUAUGUAUCCUUCUUUAUUCUUAAUUUAUUUAUUGGUCCAUCCAUCCAUCCAUCUCUAUGUUGUAAUGUGUGUAUAAGUUUAAAACGAUAACUAUUGUUAUAGGGUUUACUCUCCCGUCACGAACAAACCUUUAUUCUCAGAAUGUUUUUGAAAAGCUAAAUAUGUGCACAUAUUAUACACAUGUAUAAAACAUGUAUGAAAAGAUACAUAAAAAACAGUUCAUAUGA